UACGUAGGGGGCAAGCGUUGUCCGGAAUUAUUGGGCGUAAAGGGCGCGUAGGCGGUUUCUUAAGUCUGAUGUGAAAGCCCACAGCUUAACUGUGGAGGGUCAUUGGAAACUGGGGAACUUGAGUGCAGAAGAGGAGAGUGGAAUUACACGUGUAGCGGUGAAAUGCGUAGAUAUGUGGAGGAACACCAGUGGCGAAGGCGACUCUCUGGUCUGUAACUGACGCUGAGGCGCGAAAGCGUGGGGAGCAAACAGG
rnacentral:rRNA from 1 species